rnacentral:rRNA from 1 species
AUUGAACGCUGGCGGCAGGCCUAACACAUGCAAGUCGAGCGGAUGAGUGGAGCUUGCUCCAUGAUUCAGCGGCGGACGGGUGAGUAAUGCCUAGGAAUCUGCCUGGUAGUGGGGGACAACGUUUCGAAAGGAACGCUAAUACCGCAUACGUCCUACGGGAGAAAGUGGGGGAUCUUCGGACCUCACGCUAUCAGAUGAGCCUAGGUCGGAUUAGCUAGGUGGUGAGGUAAAGGCUCACCAAGGCGACGAUCCGUAACUGGUCUGAGAGGAUGAUCAGUCACACUGGAACUGAGACACGGUCCAGACUCCUACGGGAGGCAGCAGUGGGGAAUAUUGAACAAUGGGCGAAAGCCUGAUCCAGCCAUGCCGCGUGUGUGAAGAAGGUCUUCGGAUUGUAAAGCACUUUAAGUUGGGAGGAAGGGCAGUAAGUUAAUACCUUGCUGUUUUGACGUUACCAACAGAAUAAGCACCGGCUAACUUCGUGCCAGCCGCCGCGGUAAAAC